CCAAACUGAACAAGAUUGCUCACCAACCCCGGCCCCAAGUUAGUGGUGAUUAUAUCUUUGGUUGCUUCACCAAAGGCAAAGUAACCCAGAACCCCAAAUCCUCCAUACAACAGAGAAAUGAAUGCCAUACAUAAUCCCAACACUUUUCCAAACUUGUCCUUGUCCUUUGCCUCAGAUUCUAAUGGCAAUCCCAUGCCAAUCCCUUCAAAGGCAUAGACAGCCACACCCAAACCAUAAAAGAAAACAGAAAACCCACUAAAAGCCUCCAAAACAGGCUUAUUUUUUAAGAAGGCAACCACAUCCUCCACCAUCACCACACCCAUAGCUCCAAGAUCAACCACAUCAGCAAAAAUACUCAGAGGAGCCAAAUGGGUCAGUGUUGGAAUCGAAUUCAAGCCCAACUGGAAAGGAAAACAACCCCAUAUAUACAAAGACUUGGGACUUAAAAAACCCAGAAUUUUUUCAUUUGAUUGACGAUUAAAAACAUAGGCUAAAGUGUUUGCGAUGAAAAUGAGAUAGCUAACACAAAACCCAGCUUGUGCAAGGACGAUCAUGGCAUCCACAGCAAAACGACCAACGGGACCACAAACAGUAUAGCCCAGAUCACCAA
rnacentral:misc_RNA from 1 species